rnacentral:rRNA from 1 species
AGUGAACGCUGGCGGUAGGCCUAACACAUGCAAGUCGAACGGCAGCACAGGAGAGCUUGCUCUCUGGGUGGCGAGUGGCGGACGGGUGAGGAAUACAUCGGAAUCUACUCUGUCGUGGGGGAUAACGUAGGGAAACUUACGCUAAUACCGCAUACGACCUACGGGUGAAAGCAGGGGAUCUUCGGACCUUGCGCGAUUGAAUGGGCCGAUGUCGGAUUAGCUAGUUGGCGGGGUAAAGACCCACCAAGGCGACGAUCCGUAGCUGGUCUGAGAGGAUGAGCAGCCACACUGGAACUGAGACACGGUCCAGACUCCUACGGGAGUCAGCAGUGGGGAAUAUUGGACAAUGGGCGCAAGCCUGAUCCAGCCAUACCGCGUGGGUGAAGAAGGCCUUCGGGUUGUAAAGCCCUUUUGUUGGGAAAGAAAUCCAGCUGGCUAAUACCCGGUUGGGAUGACGGUACCCAAAGAAUAAGCACCGGCUAACUUCGUGCCAGCCGCCGCAGUAA